GAACAGAGAGAAUCACUCUCUCUUAUUUAUUCUUCCUUCUUUCUUCCUCUUUUCUGUUUCUCUUCUUCUUCUGUCUGUCGAAUUUCUUAUCGAUGAAGUGAGUGUGUUUUGAUGUGAGUGAUUUGUAGAAGUGUGUUAAGUUGAUGAAUCGAAGGGGUAAGUGAUGAACUGUGGUUGAUUGAACCGGAAAAAGAUAAUCGAUGUUACUGUAAGAUUGAAUCUAGAGUUUCUUUGUGAAAGAAGUAAAUGAAUCAGAGAACUUAGGAGUUGGGUUGGAUCGAUUGAAGGCUACGGUAAGCUCAAACAAAGAGGAAGAUGUUUUGGUAGGUGAUUCUGUGAGAAUUAGGGUUUGAAAGAAAUUCGAGAAAAGUGUUAGAAGAUGGAAUUAGAGUCGCAGGUGAAUGAUUAGAAAUGGGUGUGGUUUGAAUUAGAAAUUAUGGUGGAAGCUAAACUGACAUUACCGAGUUGUCCUGUGAAGCUUCAAUGAAUUAGGGUUUCUGCUAGUUUGAGAUUUAAAUUGAUGAUGAACCAAGAGAAAUUGGAAGAGGCUGUUAAUUGGGUAAGUAUCCAUGUUGUUUAAUUUCAGUGUUCGAAGUUUAAUUUUUGGUUCCUCAGGAAUUCAAAUUUUUCAUGUGUUCUUCCUCAAUAUAGAAAUUAGGGUUAGUGGAUUUGAAUUGAACUAAUUGUUGAUUUGUGUUUGGGAAGGUGGAUUUCAGAUUGUGAUGAAGAUGUUAAAUGUUUGUUUUGUGUGUGUUUGUGUUGUAUGUAUCUUGAUUUGGAAGUUGUGUCUGGAGAACUGAAAUUACAGGGUGAGAUAUUGUAAUGGUGGAUGUCGAUGAAUGCUUAGAAUUUUACAGAGUUUGACUAACUCAGUUGGCGGAAGUAGAUUGAGCCUGAUGGUAAUGCAGCUGAGCUGAUAAGAAUGCAUUGUUAAGUUCAUGUUCGAUUUAAUGUUUGAGAUGAGUAUAGAAUGGAACCGUGAUUGUUGUUAUGAAAAUGGUGUUGAAUAGUGAACCAUUGCUGCAGGGUAUGGUUGAAUUCUCAGAGGUGAUUGUACUGAGUUAUAAGUUUUGUAGUGGUGUUGUUUAAUGCUUAAUGAGAGUCUGUAGAAUCAGUAGGUUGUAUUGGAGAUAGUCUGCUGGUGCAUAUGAGAUUUAAUGUAUGGGUGUAGGAACUGGGAGUGCUGUGGUUUGGUAAUGAUUAUGAUGUUGCUACUGGGAUUCAAAUUGAGGGUGCAGAUUUGCCUGAACUGGUAGAAUGCGAGCUAUUAAUUUAGGAGAAGGUUUAAGAAGAUGACGGUGUUGUUUUUGAAGAAUGGUACUGUGUUUGGUGUAUGUGAAUUUGUGUUGAGUUGGGAAUGUAGAAAUUAUUGUGGAAGUGGUAGUUGUAGAAUCACUUAUGGUAGCCUCUUUGAAGCCUGAUGCUACUGCAUUUGCAGUUAGUCUAUUAACAACGAUCGAUUCAAAGGAAGAACCCGUGGAUCGUGGAUCUCGUGGUAGGCGUGGCUUGUCAUCAAAAGAGUUUCAGAGACAGAUCAGAGUUGCGCAGCGAAAGUUUCAAUAGAUGGAUAACUUCUACUAUGUUUAUUAUAUUGUUUAUUGUAUCUGUAAACCUAAUGACUAAUGUAUAUGUAUCAUUUGAGAGAACUUCUUGUAUAUAUAUGUUUCAAAGCGGGUUAGUUUGAGGUUAAGUUUUGUAGCACAUUUUUUAGUUGAAUGCUUAAAUAUUUGAUUUAGGUUUCUAGUGCCUCUAUUUUUAGUUAAUCUCUU